rnacentral:rRNA from 1 species
AGAGUUUGAUCAUGGCUCAGGAUGAACGCUAGCUACAGGCUUAACACAUGCAAGUCGAGGGGCAGCAUGGCCUAUCUUUCGGGAUAGGCUGAUGGCGACCGGCGCACGGGUGAGUAACGCGUAUCCAACCUUCCCUUUACUGGGGUUCAGCCCGUCGAAAGGCGGAUUAAUCCCCCAUGUUCUCCGUCCCGGACAUCUGUGUCGGAGCAAAGAUUUAUCGGUAAAGGAUGGGGAUGCGUCCGAUUAGCUUGUUGGCGGGGUAACGGCCCACCAAGGCAUCGAUCGGUAGGGGUUCUGAGAGGAAGGUCCCCCACACUGGAACUGAGACACGGUCCAGACUCCUACGGGAGGCAGCAGUGAGGAAUAUUGGUCAAUGGCCGCAAGGCUGAACCAGCCAAGUAGCGUGAGGGAAGACUGCCCUAUGGGUUGUAAACCUCUUUUAUGCGGGGAUAAAGGCGUCCACGUGUGGAUGUUUGCAGGUACCGCAUGAAUAAGGACCGGCUAAUUCCGUGCCAGCAGCCGCGGUAAUACGGAAGGUCCGGGCGUUAUCCGGAUUUAUUGGGUUUAAAGGGAGCGU